UGAUCGAAGCUGAAAUUACUGAGCUCUUUUUCAUGUAUGAUCUCUGUUCAGGUGAAAAUCCAAGCCUAAUAUUCUUGUAUGUAUCCAUUUAUAAGAAAAAAAAUUUGAUCUUUUUGUGUAUUUAAGAAAGAAAUUGGUCGAUUAUUGUUGAUUUUGUGUGUUUGGUUGGAUAUGAUGAUCAUUUCCCCAGAUGAUCGAAGCUGA
rnacentral:misc_RNA from 1 species